ensembl:snRNA U6 U6 spliceosomal RNA
GAGCCUACUUCUACAGCACAUGUACUAAAACUGAAACAAUACAGAGAUUAGCAUGGCCCCUGAGCAAGGAUGUCAUGCAAAUUUGUGCAGCAUUCAAAUUUUAA